rnacentral:tRNA from 1 species
GGCGCUGUGGUGCAGCGGGUUAACACCCUGGCCUGAAGCGCCAGCAUCCCAUAUGGGCCCUGGUUCUAGUCCCGGCUGCUCCU